CCAGCAGGGUUGGUUCCUUCUGGAGGA
rnacentral:piRNA from 1 species